GAUGAACGCUAGCGGAAGGCUUAAUACAUGCAAGUCGAGCGGUAGUCCCCUUCGGGGGAUGAGAGCGGCGCACGGGUGAGUAACGCGUACAUGACCUGCCUGUCAGAAGGGAUAGCCCUGGGAAACUGGGAUUAAUACCCUAUGGUAUUGAUAUUAUGAAUGAUAUCAAUUAAAGUUGAGGCGCUGACAGAUGGAUGUGCGUCUGAUUAGCUAGUUGGUAGGGUAACGGCCUACCAAGGCGACGAUCAGUAGGGGGCGUGAGAGCGUGGUCCCCCACACGGGUACUGAGACACGGACCCGACUCCUACGGGAGGCAGCAGUAAGGAAUAUUGGUCAAUGCCCGCAAGGGUGAACCAGCCAUUCCGCGUGGAGGAUGAAGGCCCUAUGGGUUGUAAACUUCUUUUAGAUGGGAAGAAAAUGCUAGAUGUAUCUGGUACUGACGGUACCAUCAGAAUAAGCACCGGCUAACUCCGUGCCAGCAGCCGCGGUAAUACGGAGGGUGCGAGCGUUAUCCGGAAUUACUGGGUUUAAAGGGUGCGUAGGCGGAUAAUUAAGUCUAAGGUGAAAGUUUGUCGCUUAACGAUAAAAUUGCCUUGGAUACUGGUUAUCUUGAAUAAGGAUGAGGAUGGCGGAAUGUGGCAUGUAGCGGUGAAAUGCAUAGGUAUGCCAUAGAACACCAAUUGCGAAGGCAGCUAUCUGGUCUUUUAUUGACGCUGAGGCACGAAAGCGUGGGGAUCGAACAGGAUUAGAUACCCUGGUAGUCCACGCCCUAAACGAUGCUAACUCGAUGUUUGGUCGUACGAUUGAGCAUCCAAGCGAAAGCGUUAAGUUAGCCACCUGGGGAGUACGACCGCAAGGUUG
rnacentral:rRNA from 1 species